rnacentral:rRNA from 1 species
AUUGAACGCUGGCGGCAGGCCUAACACAUGCAAGUCGAGCGGAUGAGUGGAGCUUGCUCCAUGAUUCAGCGGCGGACGGGUGAGUAAUGCCUAGGAAUCUGCCUGGUAGUGGGGGACAACGUUUCGAAAGGAACGCUAAUACCGCAUACGUCCUACGGGAGAAAGCAGGGGACCUUCGGGCCUUGCGCUAUCAGAUGAGCCUAGGUCGGAUUAGCUAGUAGGUGAGGUAAUGGCUCACCUAGGCGACGAUCCGUAACUGGUCUGAGAGGAUGAUCAGUCACACUGGAACUGAGACACGGUCCAGACUCCUACGGGAGGCAGCAGUGGGGAAUAUUGGACAAUGGGCGAAAGCCUGAUCCAGCCAUGCCGCGUGUGUGAAGAAGGUCUUCGGAUUGUAAAGCACUUUAAGUUGGGAGGAAGGGCAGUAAGUUAAUACCUUGCUGUUUUGACGUUACCAACAGAAUAAGCACCGGCUAACUUCGUGCCAGCAGCCGCGGUAAAAC